ensembl:lncRNA
GGUAAACUGAUGCUCUGAAGUAAAGAGAGAUUGGAGAUGUGCCUUAGCACGUGCGAGAGUGUUCUCCUAGCUGAUCCUAACCACAAACCCACGUAUGGUAAUCGCUGCCGGGAGAGUUCUAAAGUUUUCGUGGCCAGGUGAUCUUCUUGUAUUGGUGCGCCGGUUCAUGUGGGUGGUUUGGGCAUGGAUUUGGGGGUUCAGGUGAUCUUCGUGUAUUGGUGCGCCGGUUCAUGUGGGUGGUUUGGGCAUGGAUUUGGGGAGUUCAAGUGAUCUUCGUGUAUUGGUGUGCCGGUUCCUGUGGGUGGUUUGGGCAUGGAUUUGGGGAGUUCAAGUGAUCUUCGUGUAUUGGUGUGCCGGUUCAUGUGGGUGGUUUGGGCAUGGAUUUGGGGAGUUCAUUGUUUUUUCUGUCGCCGUCGGGUCUGUAAUUCAUGAACCCAAGACUCGUCCCUCCUUGUCAAGGGCUCAUCUCAGAGAGGUUACUCCUACACCAUGGGAGCCUCCUCACAAGUUCUCC